GAUGACCUGGCAAACGGAGCUGAUGGGGCCUGCAGGAGGCUGAGCUGCCAUCCACGCUGCACUCACUGCUUCCAGUCACUCUGAAGUCAGAGGCUCGGGGAUUCUUUAACUGCUGUACAUCCGGGAAACGGGAACAGCCAAGGCCGAGCUCAGCGUUGGCCCCGAGAGGAGUGAGGGCGUGCUUGAUGUGUCUCCAGUCUUCCUUUCUUCUUCCUGCCUGAAAGGACGGAGGCAUAGGGUGACAUCAAGGAGAGAGGUGUUCUCUACGUCUCCAAAUACCUUACAGAGUAUAGAAAAUCAUCAUCCGACCCAGGAAAUCACAGUGAUAGAGGUGAGGAGGGAGCUCCCAGCAGCUCAGCCUCGCUGAGAGCAGAAGGGGAGGAAAUGGCCAAUUCGCCAGCUGCUGACCAGACUCCUGCUCACAGGGGUGUCCCCAGA
rnacentral:lncRNA from 1 species